GUAGGUGGCAAGCGUUGUCCGGAAUUAUUGGGCGUAAAGCGCGCGCAGGCGGUCCUUUAAGUCUGAUGUGAAAGCCCACGGCUCAACCGUGGAGGGUCGUUGGAAACUGGGGGACUUGAGUACAGAAGAGGAAAGCGGAAUUCCACGUGUAGCGGUGAAAUGCGUAGAGAUGUGGAGGAACACCAGUGGCGAAGGCGGCUUUCUGGUCUGUAACUGACGCUGAGGCGCGAAAGCGUGGGGAGCAAACAGGGAUUAGAUACCCUGGUAGUCCACGCCGUAAACGAUGAGUGCUAAGUGUUAGGGGGUUUCCCGCCCCUUAGUGCUGCAGCUAACGCAUUAAGCACUCCGCCUGGGGAUACGGCCGCAAGGCUG
rnacentral:rRNA from 1 species